CAAGCCAGUGUGCUUUCAAUGUCUCUGACCUCCAAAUGUUCCUGCGUUGUAGGGGUGGAUUAUUUGCUGAAACUACGUAACACUGGCAGAAAACAAGCAACUGGAUUGGAAGCAGAAUUGCUCACUUCCAGCAGACAGGUUCAGCCACAGUGACUUGUGAUGAGACGUUGCUGCCAGGAGACAGUGGAAAUGUGACUGGUUCCUGAAAGACUAGAGCUGGCUUACUGUUUUUCUAUGUCCUCUUCUACUUCAUCAUCAGCAAAGUUAGCAUUUGCUGUACAAAUGCACCUGCAACCUGAAAACAAAGAAGUCCAAUUUCUCCAUUUGUUUUAUUCUCACAUUUACUGAAUAUGUAAUUUGUUCCAGAGAAUAUGUUUUCACUGCUGGGAAAUUAUUAUAAAUAUUAACAUUUCAAUGAAGAAAAAUGGUGAAAAUCAAAGAUACAGGUUUUUAUGGAAAGCAUUACAUAUGUUUUAAAUAUCCGUUACUAUACUUGAGUUGCCAGCAUAUUAACUGAUAGAACGCAUUCAGACAUUUGAACCAGUUGCAUUGAAGUUUUAAAGCUAUGAGAUUGAAGACAGAAAAGAGUGUAAACAGUAAAAUGUAUUGUACAUACAAGGUGGAAAUAUAUCUGUAAGAGACUCAAAUAUCUCCUCUCAGUUUCUCAGCUUGCCCUGUUCCAUAUGUCAACUGCUACGGGAUUUCUCCCACAGUACAGCAAAUGUGUCCACACAAGAUAACAUGGUAGCCUUUUGAAAAUAACUACUGUACUCUACAGAUUCUGGCCUCCUCUGUUUCUUCAAGAUUUGAGAAAGUGCUGCCACACAUGAUGCAUCUGGCUCCUCAAGAUACUGCCAAGGAAGCUGGAUGACCCAAACUGAAAUAGUUAAUUUCCCCUGGCACCAUCUUGACCCAAGACAGGCAGGAGAAAAAUGGACAGUUACUCUCCUUUCUGUUACUUGAUCCAAAAAGCCUACCCAUAGAUAUCCUGUGUGAUCAGAAGUACCACUUUCCAAACAAUAGGAAGAAUCUCUGUGAAAGAAAUUAACUUUCAAAUAAUGCUUCACUUAACUGGGUUGCCCAUUCAGCCCUGUCUCACUUUUUCCCUUUUGCUCUCUUGGUAGAGAGACUUUCCCAUGUAAAUCACUAAUACUGAAUCCUUGCAGAUCUAUCUUUUGGUUUUAAACCAUAGUACUGACACAUAUUAAAAAUAUGGAAAAGUAGCACAGUAAAUAGUGCAGCUUCCUUCUGAGAUGAAAUCCAAUGAGAUUAAAGAAAUAAAUCAAAGUAGCAUUAUUGUUUUUUACUCACCCAGUGAACGAUCUACCUUGGGCAGGAAUGAGAAGAAUUUUUAUUGGAUAGUGAGGUUUCCUUUUUAAGAUAAGACAGCAGAGUAAUUGUUUAUAGAAAUCGUAAUAGGUAUUAGUUUAUUGUUUGAUUAAGUCAGUAUUGGUUCAUAGAGCUACAUGAGUCACUGAUGAUAUGAAAUUGACGAAGUUUCAGCUGUAAAUUGGAGCUGAUUGUGCAGAUGCUGACCGUGACUACAGAAAGAAUCCACAUAUUUGCAAUGUAUGCUUGAUGGAAGCAGGCACAUAGGUCUUAGAACACUAACACUUGGUAGUGGAUAGAAAAGCAGAAAAGCCUUCUUGAAAGAACUGAGAUUUUGAUAUUGAACUUAUUAGAUAAGGUAGGAAAGGUAAGAAUUUUCUAGAAGGAGUAAGCAUAAAGGGGUACUAGAUUUUGAAUAUUCCAAUUAGAGGGAACAGCGACUAGACUGGGCUAGAACUUUACUAGCUGCUUACCCUUAUACUAAUCUUCUCACGUAUCUGAAUUCCAUUGCUCCCAUUUGUAAAGAAAAUUAUACUAUUGUGCAGAGAAAUUGUAAAAAUUUAAUGGGAUAAUGUGUUAAAAGUUAUGGCAUGCAAUUUACAGACAGUUGUUUUAUUUCUUGAAAAUAGCCAAAUUAUUUUUUUCUUCUACUUAAAAACAGGAAUAUGGAAUAAACAGCAAGGCUGAGAAAAUCCAGUCACUUUCCAAAUUUGAAAAAAAAGCAAAUAUUGAUAAUCAAAUCAUAGCUCAAAAAUAAAGCUCUUAACUGAAAGUAGUUAAUAUC